rnacentral:rRNA from 1 species
CCUACGGGAGGCAGCAGUGGGGAAUUUUGGACAAUGGGCGCAAGCCUGAUCCAGCAAUGCCGCGUGCAGGAUGAAGGCCUUCGGGUUGUAAACUGCUUUUGUACGGAGCGAAACGGUCUGCUUUAAUACAGUAGGCUAAUGACGGUACCGUAAGAAUAAGCACCGGCUAACUACGUGCCAGCAGCCGCGGUAAUACGUAGGGUGCGAGCGUUAAUCGGAAUUACUGGGCGUAAAGCGUGCGCAGGCGGUUAUAUAAGACAGAUGUGAAAUCCCCGGGCUCAACCUGGGACCUGCAUUUGUGACUGUAUAGCUAGAGUACGGUAGAGGGGGAUGGAAUUCCGCGUGUAGCAGUGAAAUGCGUAGAUAUGCGGAGGAACACCGAUGGCGAAGGCAAUCCCCUGGACCUGUACUGACGCUCAUGCACGAAAGCGUGGGGAGCAAACAGGAUUAGAUACCCUGGUAGUCCACGCCCUAAACGAUGUCAACUGGUUGUUGGGUCUUCACUGACUCAGUAACGAAGCUAACGCGUGAAGUUGACCGCCUGGGGGAGGACGGCCGCGAGGUUAGUAAACGUUAAAGGUAAAGUUAGUACGGCGUGAGACGUAGCCGACGGACGACGACGAGGGGAGGUUAGG